GAAAGGAUAAGUUAAGUAUAAACUAUUUGAUUCAUAUUCAAAAUUUGCUUUUUAAGCUUCUUUUA
rnacentral:tRNA from 1 species